UACAAUCUUUGUUAUAUUAUUAAAAUUACAUGAAAAUUAUUUAAAAUGGGAAUAAAGAAUUUAAUUUAAUAUUAAUAUCAAAAUACAAUAUAAGUAAAAUUAUAAUUAUUUUAUAUUCUCAGUAUGAAUUUUUAGUCGAUAUAUGUAAAUAUGAACUAGUGAAUAAUAAUUUAAAUAAAUCUGAUAAAUAUUUGUGCCAGCAUUCGCGGUUAAACUUUAAGGUUAAAUGAAGAAAAUAAUAUUAAGUUACUUAAUAAAUAUUAGUUAUAUUAUUCUAAAUAAUAAUAGGUGAAAUUAUUGUUAUUAUAUAAGUUUAAAUUAUAUUUUAAGGAAGCUAAUAAGCUUUAAAGAUAAACUAGGAUUAGAUACCCUAUUAUAUUAAAGUUUAAUAAAUAAAUGUUGAAUUAUUAAUAGGUAUAACUUAAAACUUUAAGAAUUUGGCGGUAAUUUAGUCUUGUCAGAGGAACCUGUUUAAAAUUAAUCGAUAUACCUCGUAGUAUCUUACUUGUUUUUAGUUUGUAUACCAUCAUUAUUAGAUGAUUUCUAAUGAAUUAAUCAUUAAAAUUAAAAAUUUUAAAAAAAUUAGAUCAAGGUGCAGCUUAUAAAUAAGUUUAAAUGGGUUACAAUAAGUUUUAUUUAAAUGGAAAAGAUCAGUAAGAAGGGUUUAAGAAGGCGGAUUUGAUAGUAAUAUAAGUUUAAUAAGCUUGUAAGAUAAAAGCUCUAAAUUAUGUACAUAUCGCCCGUCGCUUUCAUUAAAUAAUGAGAUAAGUCGUAACAUAGUAGAUGUACUGGAAAGUGCAUCUAGAAUUA
rnacentral:ncRNA from 1 species